GAUGAACGCUAGCUACAGGCUUAACACAUGCAAGUCGCGGGGCAGCAUGGGGGUUGCUUGCAACCUCUGAUGGCGACCGGCGCACGGGUGAGUAACGCGUAUCCAACCUGCCCUUCACCACGGGAUAACCCGGCGAAAGUCAGACAAAUACCGUAUGUUGUCCAUUGACGGCAUCCGAUUCGGACGAACAGCUUGGCGGUGAAAGGAUGGGGAUGCGUCCGAUUAGCUUGACGGCGGGGAAACGGCCCACCGUGGCUACGAUCGGUAGGGGUUCUGAGAGGAAGGUCCCCCACACUGGAACUGAGACACGGUCCAGACUCCUACGGGAGGCAGCAGUGAGGAAUAUUGGUCAAUGGGCGUAAGCCUGAACCAGCCAAGUAGCGUGCAGGAUGACGGCCCUAUGGGUUGUAAACUGCUUUUAUGCGGGGAUAAAGUGGCCCACGUGUGGGCUUUUGCAGGUACCGAAUGAAUAAGGACCGGCUAAUUCCGUG
rnacentral:rRNA from 1 species